UCCUGGUUAACCCAGGCAGUCUCGUUAGAGUCCCCACCUUAAAUGCUGGCAACUAACGAUAAGGGUUGCGCUCGUUGCGGGACUUAACCCAACACCUCACGGCACGAGCUGACGACAGCCAUGCAGCACCUGUACAGCGGUCCCGAAGGAAAACACCAUUUCUGGUGCCGUCCACUGUAUGUCAAGUCUGGGUAAGGUUCUUCGCGUUGCAUCGAAUUAAACCACAUGCUCCACUGCUUGUGCGGGUCCCCGUCAAUUCUUUUGAGUUUCACCCUUGCGAGCGUACUCCCCAGGCGGUAUACUUAACACGUUAGCUACGGCACAGUUGGGGUUGAGACCAACUACACCAAGUAUACAUCGUUUACGGCUAGGACUAC
rnacentral:misc_RNA from 1 species